UCGGGUAACUCCGUACCUAGACGAGGGUGACAACUAUUGAUUAAAAUUCAUUGUGUAUUAGCCCUCUGGAGCGAAAGGGAAUCGUGUUAAUAUUCACGACCCUUACCGUGGAGAUCGCCUCUUUCGGGGGGCAAGUGCGGUAACGCAAACGAACACAGAGACGUCGGCUGGAGCCCCGGGAAGAGUUCUCUUUUCUUUGUAAGGAGCGUACCCCCUGGAAUCGGCUUGUCCGGAGAUAGGGGCGUGGCUUCCGUAAAGCAGCGCGGGUCUUGCGCUGUCCGGUGCACUCUAGUCGGCCCUUGAAAAUCUGUGGGAGACAGUGUGAUUUUCACGGUAGGCCGUACCCAUAUCCGCAGCAGGUCUCCAAGGUGAACAGCCUCUAGUCCUAGAACAAUGUAGGUAAGGGAAGUCGGCAAAAUGGAUCCGUAACUUCGGGAAAAGGAUUGGCUCUGAGGGCUGGGCCGGAUGGGCUGGCGUAAUAAGCUGUUCCGGUUUCGGUAAGUGCUGGGUGAAGCUUUCGGGCUUUAUCCGGAACUACGCCGAGACCAGGCAGUAGACGACGUCAGCUGUGCUUGCUGUGUCUCGGCAUGGCGGCUUCGUCCGGCAACAAACAGCCAACUCAGAACUGGCACGGACUAGGGGAAUCCGACUGUCUAAUUAAAACAAAGCAUUGCGAUGGCUGUUGCUCGGUGUUGACGCAAUGUGAUUUCUGCCCAGUGCUCUGAAUGUCAAAGUGAAGAAAUUCAAUCAAGCGCGGGUAAACGGCGGGAGUAAC
rnacentral:rRNA from 1 species